GGACUACAGGGGUUUCUAAUCCCAUUCGCGACCCACGCUUUCAUGUUUCAGUGUCAGGAGUGCUCCAGCCUGCUGCCUUCGCUUUUGGUGUUCCCCAUAAUAUCAACGCAUUUCACCGCUACACUAUGAGUUCCGCAGACCCCUCGCAUCCUCGAGUCGUGCCGUUUCCCUUGCAUGCCCCCGGUUAAGCCGAAGAAUUUAACAAGAGACUAACACAACCACCUACACAUCCUUUACGCCCAAUGAUUCCGGAUAACGCUUGAGGCACUCGUAUUACCGCGGCUGCUGGCAC
rnacentral:rRNA from 1 species